UACCAUGUGGCCUAGUGGAUAAGGUGUCUGACUUCAGAUCAGAAGAUUAAGGGUUUGAGUCCCUUCAUGGUUG